AUUGAACGCUGGCGGCAGGCCUAACACAUGCAAGUCGAGCGGAGCGGCGGACGGGCGAGUAAUGACUAGGUAUCUGCCUGGCAGUGGGGGAUAAAGUCCGGAAACGGGCGCUAAUACCUCAUGCUAUCAGUUGAGCCUAGGCCGGAUUAGCUAGUUGGUGGGGGAAAGGCCUACCAAGGCGACGAUCCGUACCUGGUCUGAGAGGAUGAUCAGUCACACUGGAACUGAGACACGGUCCAGACUCCUACGGGAGGCAGCAGUGGGGAAUAUUGGACAAUGGGCGAAAGCCUGAUCCAGCCAUGCCGCGUGUAUGAAGAAGGUCUUCGGAUUGUAAAGCACUUUAAGUUGGGAGGCGUUACCAACAGAAUAAGCACCGGCUAACUUCGUGCCAGCAGCCGCGGUAAUUC
rnacentral:rRNA from 1 species